ACAUAUCAAUAAGCGGAGGAAAAGAAACUAACAAGGAUUCCCCUAGUAGCGGCGAGCGAAGCGGGAAGAGCUCAAAUUUAUAAUCUGGCACCUUCGGUGUCCGAGUUGUAAUCUCUAGAAGUGUUUUCCGCGUUGGACCGCACACAAGUCUGUUGGAAUACAGCGGCAUAGUGGUGAAACCCCCGUAUAUGGUGCGGACGCCCAGCGCUUUGUGAUACACUUUCAAUGAGUCGAGUUGUUUGGGAAUGCAGCUCAAAUUGGGUGGUAAAUUCCAUCUAAAGCUAAAUAUUGGCGAGAGACCGAUAGCGAACAAGUACCGUGAGGGAAAGAUGAAAAGCACUUUGGAAAGAGAGUUAACAGUACGUGAAAUUGUUGGAAGGGAAACGCUUGAAGUCAGACUUGCUUGCCGGAGCUUGCUUCGGUUUGCAGGCCAGCAUCAGUUUUCCGGGGUGGAUAAUGACGGUUUGAAGGUAGCAGUCUCGGCUGUGUUAUAGCUUUCCGUUGGAUACGCCCUGGGGGACUGAGGAACGCAGCGUGCUUUUUGCGAAAGACUCGUCUUUUUCACGCUUAGGAUGCUGGUGGAAUGGCUUUAAACGACCCGUCUUGAAACACGGACCAAGGAGUCUAACAUGCUCGCGAGUAUUUGGGUGUCAAACCCGGAUGCGCAAUGAAAGUGAAUGUAGGUGGGAACCGCAAGGUGCACCAUCGACCGAUCUGGAUUUUUUAAGAUGGAUUUGAGUAAGAGCGCGUAUGUUGGGACCCGAAAGAUGGUGAACUAUGCCUGAAUAGGGCGAAGCCAGAGGAAACUCUGGUGGAGGCUCGUAGCGGUUCUGACGUGCAAAUCGAUCGUCAAUUUGGGUAUAGGGCGAAAGACUAAUCGAACCAUCUAGUAGCUGGUUCCUGCCGA
rnacentral:rRNA from 1 species